rnacentral:tRNA from 1 species
GGCUCGGUAGCUCAGUUGGUAGAGCAGAGGACUGAAAAUCCUCGUGUCGGCGGUUCGAUUCCGCCCUGAGCCACCA